AAACCAUGGUAAGGACAUAACAUUAACAAAUCUUUAAAUCUUUCCCAAGCUUGAGGUAAAUACUCAGUAUCUUUUUGAGAAAAUGUGGUUAUUUGUCGUUUCAAAGAAU
rfam:Prunus persica cultivar Lovell chromosome G8, whole genome shotgun sequence.